rnacentral:rRNA from 1 species
GCGGCGGGGUGCGAGGUAAGCAAGGGGUAAGUGCUUUAGGGAUCUAGAGAGGAUGACAAGGGGUGAAUCGGCCGCGGGGUGCGGGCUGGCGGCGGACGCCGAUGGCUGCUGGCCGCCAGAUAGGGUGGCAACGGGGUGCGCGGGAAGGAGAUAUCGUAGCGAGGUGCGGCGGGACGGGGAUGUCGCGUUGGAUUGAGGCAGGACGGAAAGAGGCGGCGGCCGAGGUGUGGGAGCACGAGAGAGAGACCAACCGGCGGAGAGAGGUCGUAGGGACCGGACUGGAGGGGUAGAGGUGGCAGGUCGAGUGCUUCUGGGUGCGUUGCCGUCUAAACCUAGCCCCGUCGCACGCGGACCAGUUCCCGUAGGGAGAGACAGAAACCGACCCGUCCCCGUGGCUUCGCCGACUCCUCCCUUUUACCGUUCGUGUUCGCCUUUUCGAUUUCUACCACCCUAGUACCUCCUUGUUGUCGCCAUCUCAUAUUUGAUGUCUCUUCAUCCUGGUAUCUUCUUUUACUUAGAGCGUCACGAUAGUGGUUUUUCUUAGCGCGGUUACUUCACGGAGUAUGUAGGCCCUCGUUCUCAGUGUUUGUUAUAUAUAUACUAUUAAAAGAACAUCGGAGGAUCUAGAAGAGUACUCCAAAAACAGUUACAACACUAGUGUUCCCUACGUUGCGACGGAAUACUUAUACUACCAAAUGCUAAACAGCGGCUACAACAGUGUUCCAGGUAACGUACCGGUAGAUCGUUCUACUUUGGGAUGUUCGGUCCCGUAGAAGGAGUAGGGCGGUGAUUCCUACGACAGUCCAACACAUACCUUCUGUUCUCCUUAUUCUUUCUUGGUACUUCGACAGUCAAACGCAGUUGAUCUAUAGAAGACAUUACCUCCUUUUGCUUACGUAGAACAUCGAUGGUCAAACAUUUCCUAUAGAACACAUUCUCGUUCGUAACUUAGCAGUCUGUACGUAGAUAGUAAAAUAUUUGGAUAGCCCACAAAGCCAGUGGGUCUGUUUACAAAGAAAAUAAAUCAAUGGAGAUACUACUCUUAAUAAUCACAAUAAAAACAAACCAAGACCAAAUUAUAAACUCUCAUGUACGUUCAAUAACAUUGAACUAUCUAUCACUACUCUAUACAUUGGACUAACUAUAACAAAACUAUUAUAUUGUACGGUUUAUGGUAACCGUUUCACGUCUACUU